rnacentral:rRNA from 1 species
GAUGAACGCUGGCGGCGUGCUUAACACAUGCAAGUCGAACGGUGAGCACGGAGCUUGCUCUGUGGGAUCAGUGGCGAACGGGUGAGUAACACGUGAGCAACCUGCCCCUGACUCUGGGAUAAGCGCUGGAAACGGCGUCUAAUACUGGAUAUGUGACGUGACCGCAUGGUCUGCGUUUGGAAAGAUUUUUCGGUUGGGGAUGGGCUCGCGGCCUAUCAGCUUGUUGGUGAGGUAAUGGCUCACCAAGGCGUCGACGGGUAGCCGGCCUGAGAGGGUGACCGGCCACACUGGGACUGAGACACGGCCCAGACUCCUACGGGAGGCAGCAGUGGGGAAUAUUGCACAAUGGGCGCAAGCCUGAUGCAGCAACGCCGCGUGAGGGAUGACGGCCUUCGGGUUGUAAACCUCUUUUAGCAGGGAAGAAGCGAAAGUGACGGUACCUGCAGAAAAAGCGCCGGCUAACUACGUG